rnacentral:tRNA from 1 species
GCCCAGGUGAUGCAAUUGGAAGACAUGCCGGUUUCAGAUACCGGUUCUUGUGGGUUCGAGUCCCACCCUGGGCACCA